CUCAGAGUUCUUAAGCAUCAGACGUGGUUAAAACUAAAUAAACGCGAAAACUUUAAAAAAUAAUAAUAAAAAAAUUGUCUAAAAAAGUGAAUUCCAAAAAAAAGUGAAAGGGAGAAAGUAGUUUUGAAAACAAAAACAACAGCACUAUAAAAAUAAUAAUAAUAAAAAACAACAAAACUAAAGACAAAAAUUUACUAAAAAGAGUUCUUUUUUUGUUAAAGGGGUGGUGGUAGUGAAGUAAUUAAAGGUUAAAUUAAAAAAAUAACAAAAUAAAUUCAAUGAAAAAAGUAAUUUAAAUUUUCCUUUUUUAAAGUUGUUUCCUAGAAGUGUGUUGUGUAACCAAGAAUUUUUUUCGUUUUCAAACGAACGCGUAAUCAUACAAUUUGUCCUUGAUGUCGUCAUUAAGUCUCGAAAAAAUAUCCAUUUAAAUAUAAAAUAGUGAAAAAUUUUGCAUAUUUCAUUGCUGAACAUUUUUAUAAAAUAAAGUAAUAAAUAAAUAUAAAUAAUUAUAUGUUCAAGUGGUUUUUAACAAUAUUUUUCUAACAAAACCUCUACUCUAAUUAAGUGUUUGCUGUUAUAAGUUAUUAAGUAAAAUAACAUUUCGAGAAAUUCUAAACAUGUUUGUUUGUAUGCUAUCGGCAAAAUAGGUCAUAUUGACAAAACUACGAGAAAACAAUAACCCU